GAUGAAGAACGUAGCGAAAUGCGAUAAGUAAUGUGAAUUGCAGAAUCCAGUGAAUCAUCGAAUCUUUGAACGCACAUUGCGCCCGCCAGCAUUCUGGCGGGCAUGCCUGUUCGAGCGUCAUUUCAACCCUCGACCUCCCUUUGGGGAAGUCGGCGUUGGGGACCGGCAGCACACCGCCGGCCCUGAAAUGGAGUGGCGGCCCGUCCGCGGCGACCUCUGCGUAGUAAUCCAACUCGCACCGGAACCCCGACGCGGCCACGCAGUAAAACACCCAACUUCUGAACGUUGACCUCGAAUCAGGUAGGACUACCCGCUGAACUUAAGCAUAUCAAUAAGCGGAGGA
rnacentral:misc_RNA from 1 species